AUCUUCCGAACUGUUUUAAUUCAAGAUCUGAAAGCCCCGAAAUUUUCUUUAAAUCUACCCUUUUAUCCCGAACAACUCGAAAUGGAUCUCGUUACUAAUGUUUUACGACCAGGGAACGUUUAGCUUCAAGCAUCUUUGCGUUGCUUGGCACAUAGAGGUGGAUUUUUAAAUACUGGAAACUUCGACUUUGCGGCUAAUAAUCAAUUAAGCGACAGAACAUUUGUGAAGAGUAUCAGUAUUCAAGAUGUAUUGUUCAAGAUGUGUGUAAUGAACACGAAAGAUGAAAACGAAAUUUGUUCAAUAUUCAGCAAACUUAUAAAGGAAAAUGUGAUCAAACUGAUAAUUAGGACAGCUUUCGACAAAGAUCAAGUAGAGACAGCAUUUAGAUUCAUGGCAAACGGAAAGCAUGUGGGAAAAAUGCUCAUAAAAAUCCAUCAAGAAACUGAACCACUAAAUACACGCAUCUUGGCUAAACUUUCCUAUGUUUGUAUUCCGAUCAAAAGUUAUAUAGUUCUUAGUGGUUUGGGAAGUUUUGGCUUGGACCUAGUUGAUUGGUUGAUUCUAAGAAAUGCUCAGAAUAAUGUCAUUACUUCACGAAAUGGUAUAAAGUAUGGUUAUCAACACAUGAGAACCAAAUUAUAGAAGUCAUACGGUGUGAAUAUGAAUAUCCUGGUAGGUCUAGAUGCGGUUGAUCGGGAUGCCAGCGAACUAAUUGUGAAAACAGCUACUGACUAGAGUCCAGUCGAUGGUAUAUUCAAGCUCUUAGACUUAAACUUCGCUAAACAUAUGGAAAGGAAUAACAAGCCGACAGAUGAUAGCAAUCUUAAUGAAAUUGAAACAAAUCAAAUAUUAUCCAAAUAUGUUGAGUCAUACAAAUAUGUUGAGGCAAUUCUAUAAUGAAAUACUUGCUACCGAAAUAGCUAUACCAUUUAAAACCAAUUUGGUGGAAGAUUGGGAUGAGAUAUUCUUUCUUCCAGGAAUCGAAGGCUAUGCUGACGUUUUCAAAACAUUAGAAUCAAAAAUUAAAUCACCUGCAAUAUGUUUUCAAUUCGAGACGAAAUACGAGUUAGAAACUGUUGAAGCUAUGGCCAAUUCCAUUCUACUGGAUAUUCAUUUGGAUCCGUUCUACUAUUGAACUCACACGAAAUUUAGAAGACAAAAGAUUUAUUGGCCGGUUAAUAUUGAUAGAUGGUGCUCCUUAGCAUCUGAAAACAUUUAUAAAGGACAACUUGCGUUCAUCAUCACAGGAAGAAUUAGAAAACAAUAUUUUCGAUAGCUCGAUGUAAUGAAUGCAUACAUUGGUGUCAAAGCUAUAGAGAUAACUGAAGGCAAAGUAGAUGUGCAUAUUGUUGAAGGAAAUCAUAUCACGGUCUUAUGUGCUGUGGAAAUUUCAAUGGCUAUUAAUGGUGAACCAUUUGAAAAUGCUACAUUAUUUAAUGAAUACGUAAUGUAAGAAAACUAAUAGAGCGUUAGUGAUUUAUUUAUUGUGAUUUUUCGAAAUAAAUAUGGGAUAUCAGCUUUAUGUAACAAAUUUAUUUGUAUUUUGAAAU